CACCUAGCUAACUGUAAGUCACUCUGGAUAAGAGUGUCUGCUAAAUUACUCAAA
rfam:Salmo salar isolate Sally breed double haploid chromosome ssa01, whole genome shotgun sequence.